CAGUCGCCGCGGGAAUACGUAGGGUGCGAGCGUUAAUCGGAAUUACUGGGCGUAAAGCGUGCGCAGGCGGUUGUGUAAGACAGGUGUGAAAUCCCCGGGCUUAACCUGGGAACUGCGCUUGUGACUGCACAGCUAGAGUAUGGCAGAGGGGGGUGGAAUUCCACGUGUAGCAGUGAAAUGCGUAGAGAUGUGGAGGAACACCGAUGGCGAAGGCAGCCCCCUGGGCCAAUACUGACGCUCAUGCACGAAAGCGUGGGGAGCAAACAGGAUUAGAUACCCCGGUAGUCCCUGUCUCUUAUAA
rnacentral:rRNA from 1 species